AGAUUGUACCACAUGGUCAUCUUUACCAAAAAAUAUUACAUUUUCAGAUACUGAACCAUAGUCAUACAUGCACCCCCAUCCUUGAUGUACAUGCAGGCACGAAGAUGUAAACAACUAAUACUUAACUAAUAAUAAUGGAAGAACACAUCAUAGAUAUUAGGAAACAAAAAUUUGAGCCUGAGAGCAGCUGUCUGAGAACGAACACACACACACACACACACACACACACACACACACACACACACACACACACACACACACACACACACACACACACACACACACACACACACACACACACACACACACACACACACACACACACACACA